rnacentral:rRNA from 1 species
UAAGCGGAGGAAAAGAAACUAACAAUGAUUGCCUCAGUAACGGCGAGUGAAGCGGCAAGAGCCCAAGCUGGUAAUUCUCCGUUCUUCGGACGGCGAAUUGUAAUCUAGAGGCCUAWUCCACACAGUCUAGGCGGAGGCAUAAUUUCCCUGGAAAGGGGAGCCACAGAAGGUGAAAGCCCUGUAUAGCCUCUGCUGAAACUCGAGGAUGGGUUGAAGAGUCGGGUUGUUUGGAACUGCAGCCCUAAUUGGGAGAUAAACUUCUUCUAAGGCUAAAUACUUAUGGGAGACCGAUAGCGAACAAGUACUGUGAAGGAAAGAUGAAAAGAACUUUGAAAAGAGAGUUAACAGACCUGAAACCGUUGAGGAGGAAGCUGUAAAAAUUUAUUAUUCGGCAAGGUCUAUAGGAAGUGGUAGUACGGGGAAGCUGCUCUGCGGACUUUGUUGAUAGGCAAAAUGAGGUUGCGCAGUCACAAACGUUUACUCUUCCGCAGGUUCCGCCUCGGUCUCGCAGUGGGCGUUCGUUGACUGCAAUGCCUGAGGGGCUACGGCGAUUUUGCCAAAAUGAUUUUUACCGACCCGUCUUGAAACACGGACCAAGGAGUCUAAC